CUGGUAACGAAGAAAGGAAACGGAUACGUCCCAGACUAGGUGGAGCUCUCCAGCCUGUCUCUGUGUAUGACCAACUCUAAGCAGGGAGAGCCUUGUUUCUAUGUCAUCGGCAGAACAGAGAAUACGCGACCAUGAUCCCAGAGCAGUCUCCCCCUCCUCCUAUCUCUACCCAGAGGAGCCGGGUGUGGCUGCAGUAGAUAAAACACGCUCUCUGCCAACGAAGAGCGGAAGGGUGGAUAGAGGAGGAGGACAGAGGGAGAGGGAGAAGAGGAGGCAGAGGAAGGGAGGUAGUCUGGGGGAAAGGAGUAGCAGAGGAGGAGGAGGAGGACGAGGUACUCCUGACACAGACCUGGAUUGUCCCGAGGAGGAGGAGGACAAGGAGGAGGAGAGUCAGGUCAUCAGCCACAGAGGUCAGAAGUCAGAGGAUAAGGACAAUGGAAAAUGUACCCAGAGUUUUCCCAAGAACGUACUAAGGAACUCAGACAGACAGGAGGAGGUAGUGGAGACAGUGCCGGAGGUGAGGCACAGCAGGGUCAAACAGAGGUCAAAACAGUUGAGGAGCAGGACAACACAAAGUGAGAGGAGAGAGGAAAUAGAGGAGCUGGACAUACACAUACCUCACUCAGCCAGUAAAACACAGGAGAAGGUGGGAGGGAGGGAAAGUGGGAGGAGGAAGAGGGAUGGACAAAGGGAGAAAGAGAGGGAGAGGAAGGCUGAGAUGAAGGUAAAGACAAGGGCUGCCGGACUUGUGGUGGAGGAUUCUGGGCCGGAAAAAAGGGACAGACCCCCAGAGAAAGAGAGAGAGCGAGCUCCCUUCUCCUUCCUCAUGCCACUGCAGGAUGGAGACGCUGAACUGUCUAAUGCAGAGUCAGGGGCCUCAGGAGCCUCCGGGGCCAGCUUCUCUGACCAGGUCAGUGUGUCUGCUGCCAGUGUCUCUGGAUCCACCGCCGGGGCCCCACCUGGGUGGGGAGAACCCAGAGAACUGAGAGGGGACCCAGGAAGCACCCAGUCAUGGUGUCGGGCCACCCAUCCAUCCCACAACCCGGGCCCCUGGAGAAGUACACAGUCACGGGGGCCCACCUACGCCGGCCCCGGCCCCUGGAUUAAACCCAGCCAGCAGAAACUGACUCAGGUGUUGGUGGGACACAGGCUGAGAGGAGGUCUUGACCUGUAGAUGAGAGGAAGAGAUGGACAACUGACUGUUCCUGUGGUGCUGAUUAACAGAAGGAGUGUCGUGGUCUUUCUGAUAACUUCCCCAAAAGCAGAAAUUCUGGUUGGAGGAUUCCCAGAUUUCCUGCUUAUUCCCUCAUAAUUCCAGGGAUCCUCCAAACAGAAUUUUUGGGCAAGUUACCAGAAUUUUGCAACCCUAGGUUUGACUGGCAGGUCCUCCAACCUAUCGUGGUCCUGACUGGUUUGACUGGCAGCUCCUCCAACCUAUCGUGGUCCUGACUGGUUUGACUGGCAGCUCCUCCAACCUAU
rnacentral:lncRNA from 1 species